UUUUAAAAUUUUGAAUUGUUGUGUUAUCAUACAAAUGUUGUAAAAGAUGAUGAACCUCAGUUCAAGUGAUGAAGAUUUGGAAGAGAUUGUAGGACUUUUAAAUGUUCCAAAAAAUGCAAAUUUUUUUGAGGAAACUGUGCAACAAUUUAAUAACCAACAAUUUAUACAGAAUUUUAGAUUAAGUAGAGACUUAGCUGUAGAUUUGGCAAAUAAGUAUGAAAGAUCUCAUUUCCACAAUAUUAUGUAAAAUUACUUUUCCUGUU